rnacentral:rRNA from 1 species
GAUGAACGCUGGCGGCGUGCCUAAUACAUGCCAGUCGAGCGAACGGACGCGAAGCUUGCUUCUCUGAUGUUAGCGGCGGACGUGUGAGUCACACGUGGAUAACCUACCUAUAAUUCUGGGAUCACUUCGAGACACCGGCUCUAACACCGUAUGAUCUUUUGCACCGCGUUGUUCAAAAGUGAAAGACGGUGUUGCUGUCACUUCUCGCUGGUUCCGCGCUGGUUUAGCUAGUUGUUACGUUAACGGCUUUCCAAGGCAAGUAUGCAUAACCGACCGCAUGGAGUGAUCGGCCACAUGGGAGCGGGGACACGGUCCAGACUCCUGAGGGAGGCACCAGUAGGGAAUGUGCGGCAAUGGGCGAAAGCCUGACGGAGCAACGCGGCGUGAGUGAUGAAGGCCUUCGGAGCGUAAAGCUCUGUUAUUAGUGAAGAACAGAUGUGUAAGUAACUGUGCACAGAUUGACGGUAACUAGUCAGAAAGCCACGGCUAACUACGUG